rnacentral:rRNA from 1 species
UACGGGGGGAGCAAGCGUUGUUCGGAUUUACUGGGCGUAAAGGGCGCGUAGGCGGCCAGCGCAAGUCAGUUGUGAAAUCUCCGAGCUUAACUCGGAAAGGUCAACUGAUACUGCGCGGCUAGAGUGCAGAAGGGGCAACUGGAAUUCUCGGUGUAGCGGUGAAAUGCGUAGAUAUCGAGAGGAACACCUGCGGCGAAGGCGGCUUCCUGGACCGAUUCUGACACUGAGGAGCGAAAGCGUGGGGAGCGAUCCGG